UUGUUUUCCAAAUUCCUUUCUUUUUUUUUAACACUUGUAUAUAAAUUUAUUGCUUCUCUUUAAUAUAUUUGAAAAGUUACUAUCAUGUCACUUCUUCAUUAUGUAGGGCAACAUAUUGUUUUAAUCCUGUUCAUUUAUAUGUCUCAAUUUAUUUUUCUACGAAAUCUCUUACAGCAGACACAGGAAGUGUAAACACAGUACAGAUUAUGUGUAUUUGAAUACCUUCUUUUUCAUUUUUUAGCUCACCUGGCCCGAAGGGCCAAGUGAGCUUUUCUCAUCACUGGGUCCGUCGUCCGUCGCGUCCGUCGUCCGUCGUCGUCGUCGUCGUCCGUCGUCGUUAACUUUUACAAAAAUCUUCUCCUCUGAAACUACUUGGCCAAAUUAAUCCAAACUUGGCCACAAUCAUCUUUGGGGUAUCUAGUUUAAAAAAUGUGUGGCGUGACCUGGUCAACCAACCAAGAUGGCCGCCACCGCUAAAAAUAGAACAUAGGGGUAAAAUGCAGUUUUUGGCUUAUAACUCAAAAACCAAAGCAUUUUGAGGAAAUCUGACAGGGGAUAAAAAUGUUUAUCAGGUCAAGAACUAUCUGCCCUGAAAUUUUCAGAUGAAUCGGUCAAUCGGUUGUUGGGUUGCUGCCCCUGA
rnacentral:lncRNA from 1 species